AUUUACAUAGUUUAAAAUAAAACAUUACAUUUUCAAUGUAAAAAUAAACAAAAUUUGUAAAUA
rnacentral:tRNA from 1 species